UACAGAGGGGGCAAGCGUUAUUCGGAAUUACUGGGCGUAAAGGGCUCGUAGGCGGCCAACUAAGUCGGAUGUGAAAUCCCCAGGCUCAACCUGGGAACUGCAUCCGAUACUGGAUGGCUUGAAUUCGGGAGAGGGAUGCAGAAUUCCAGGUGUAGCGGUGAAAUGCGUAGAUAUCUGGAGGAAUACCGGUGGCGAAGGCGGCAUCCUGGACCGACAUUGACACUGAUGAGCGAAAGCCAGGGGAGCAAACGGG
rnacentral:rRNA from 1 species